UUUUUUUUUUUUUUUUUUUUUGUGAAACAAGAAGGUCUCAUUAUGUAGCCUUGGCUUACCUGGCUCUACCUCUCAUGGGCUGGGAUUAAAGAUGUGCAACACCAUAUCCAGUCUGAUAAUUACUCUAAAAAUAACCAUACAGAGAUGGCGAUGCAGCUCGUGUGGGAGAGAGCUUUCCUGGCAUGCAUGAAGUGCUGGGUUUGAUCCUUAGCACCACAUAAAAACUGAAUGUGGCAGGAGGGAGGGGCAAGAUCAGAAGUUCAAGUUCAUUCUGGGCUUCUUAGGAGCACAGAUACCCUGGCUGAAAACAAAACAAACAAACAAACAAAAAUCCAACUCUGUCACUGCUACCAUCUUUUUAAAAAGAUAACUCCCAUCAAAUGGUGUCCAAAUUCCCAGUUGUCUCAUAGCUUUUUGUAGUAUGUUUGAGUUACAAUUUAAAUAAGGUCUCCUUGUGGCAGGUGAUUGAUACACCUUUUUAGUUUAUCUUAAUCUGUAAAGAUACCCUUAUUUGGAUUUUUUUCCUUUAUGUUUAUUGAGAAAAUAAGCAUAGUGAUGUAGCCUGCCUAGCUCAAGGCUUCUUCUUUGCAUUUCCUGUAAAUUGAUGAUUGAAUUGAAGCACAAUUCAAUUUUUUGUUGUUGAUUUUGUGACAGGGUCUUACUCCACAGUCCAGGCUGGCCUUGAACUCUUGCUAAUCCUCUUGACUCAGGUGCCCUGUUUGACUUAGUCAGGGUUUCUAUUCCUGCACAGACAUCAUGACCAAGAAGCAAGUUGGAGAGGAAAGGGUUUAUUCAGCUUACACUUCUACAUUGCAGUUCCUCACCAAAGGAAGUCAGGACUGGAACUCAAGCAGGUCAGGAAGCAGGAGCUGAUGCAGAGGCCAUGGAGGGAUAGCUUAUGGUGUGGCACAUCUUACUGGCUUGCUUCCCCUGUUUGCUCUGCUUGCUUGCUUACAGAACCCAGGACUACCAGCCCAGGGAUGGCUCCACUCACAAUGGGCCCUCCCCACCCUUGAUCCCUAAUUGAGAAAAUGCUUUACAGUUGGAUCUCAUGGAAGCAUUUCCUCAACUGAAGCUCCUUUCUCUGUGAUAACUCCAGCUGUGUCAAGUUGACAGACAAAAAACCAGCCAGUACACUGUCAUAAAUAUGAGCUACCAUGCCCAGCCAUAGUUUAGUCAUGAAGAAAAAAAAAUAUUUUUCCAUCUGAGGGGUUAUAAUUACUUCUUGGCUGAAGAAAUUCUUAACAUGCUGAUUUUAAAGUUCUUGUCUAAUGUGGAUACUAUGUGCUCAAAAAAGAGCCCAGACCUAAGAACUUGCUCAGUUGACACAGUUUCCAACGAAGAUCACCUUAGUAUUAAUUUAAUGAUUAAGAUAAAAGUUUUUUUUAGAUGAGAAAAACAUGCGUUAAGUGCAUUUGUGUUACUUAAGUCUCCUUUUCAUCUUAAUGGAGGCAGUGAUGAAUAGGUGGAUCCCGUAGGGUCAAAGCCAAGAUUCUCAAAACUCACACACAUUGAAGUACCUUGGGGGGCUUUGGAACAGGUCUCUGAGCAGCACCCCCAGUCGCAUUCUGUUUGUGAGGGGCUAGUCUGACAUUUUGUCUCUAACGGGCUCCCAGGCGAUGUUGGUGGUACUGGUUAGGUACCAGAGGUACUGGUUAGGGACUUGAAGUGUGGGCUUUAGAAUCAGCUUUUCACAAAAACAUUCUUAAAGGUGCUAGGCUGGGGCCCAGGCAUCUAUAUUUUUUUACCACGUUCCAUAAUGAUUCUGAUACAUAUUUCAGGGUGAGAGUCACUGUUAUUGUCAUAGUUUUUCUCUCCAUAAUUUCCAGGAAAAGCGCAAUCCCUUUCCAUUUAGAAAUAGUAUAGACUUUUGAUAUUGUCAUAAAUGGGGCAUAUGAUUAGGGAGGAUUCAUUGUUUUCCAUUGUGCUAUUUAUCACUGUUGUAAGAGGCAAAGU
rnacentral:lncRNA from 1 species